UUAAGAACAUAACGACAGAAAAUAUGUUACACAAAUCAAUUAUGAAGUAUAUAAAAACAGAAAAACUGCGAAAAGACAGGUGGUAUCGCACACACACACACAUAUAUGUAAUAACAAACUAAACAUUGAUAUUCACAUGCGACAAGUGUCGACAAGAUGUAUGAACCUUCAUUAUUUAGCGCAUUUGUUUUUUGUCAUAUUAUUCCUUUGUUUUUAGAAAAGCCGUUUUCGGAUUCGUACGGUUUUUCCGAUCACUGGUUUAACAUCGACAGUAUAUAUGUACAUGAGCGGGUACCGCGAGUACCUAUGUACGUACGUAACGCGCGUGUGCACGCGUUUAACGGAUAUUUGUAUACAAACAAACGUACGGUACAGUACACGCGCGCGCCGCGCGUACGUACACACAUACAUCUCGAUCGGCAGACAAAAGGAUCAAAUGUGUGUCGGACCGGGUGGGAGGCGUUGGAGGAGGAAGGGGAAGGAAGGAAAGCGGCGAAGGAAGGGGAGGGCAGGCGACGGAGACAGAAAAACACACAUCGCAGGUGCAGCGUGCGAAGCGUAGCGACUGGGACCCUCUUGAGUGUAACGAACUUUUUUUCUUUUCCUUCCUCAACUUCUUUUUUACCGGACCGUGGUGCAUGGUGACUACAUGUUAAUUUUCGUGCCAUGGAUAUAUACGGGUGGUAUUCUUAUCAUGAAAACGAACCACCGUGCCUGCCUGCCUACCGCUCUCCGAGACAAAAGGAGGAGGAAAGGCCAGAAAGGCCUGCACCGCGUCAAACAGCGACGAUUCUCCAGUAAAGGAGGGCAUAGCGCGUGGUACGGAUAUACUUAAAGACGGAGCUGCGCGCGCGACUGCGUAGCGACUAGCGGCUUUAUCAACGUCCCUUCCUGACGUCACAGUUAUCACAAACUUCAGACGUAACCACCGCGAGUCGGUAGCAGCACUACUCAUCGACUCCAAAAAGACAAAGCUACUUGAAUCGGUCGAUAUUGUCGGCGAGAUUUUUAGAAAUUGAGAUAUUUUAACUGCGUUCUGGAAUUUACUGCCAGGAUUGAAAAUUUACGUAAUGUGAAUUGUAGGUCGAUGUUCGCCUGCUAAACAAAAGGCUUGUUUUCUAUUCCUGCACUAGUCUGCACUGGAACGUUCCAUCUUGCUUUCACUAACUUUCAAAUAUAUAUUUAUUUCAUUUUAAGUGCACACUAAUUCAGGGAGUUCAAGAACAGAAAACAAACGGAAAAUCAUGUUGCAACGACGUUUCUGUAACGUUGCGUUAUAGUCAUGCAACGUUUUGCGUUUUGUCGCAUAAACGUUUCGGUAACGUUCAAGUAACCAGAAAUGUCCCGAUUCAAUUACCUUACAUAUGCAACAUCACAUUUCCAACGUUUCUGCAACGUUUUUAAAACUUGCAAUACAAUGUUAGGGAAACGUUACCCAAGCAAGUAAAAAUAUUUAAAAUAUGCUUUUUAAAUCAAAAGAGAAUUGUUUUCUCUGUGAGAAAUUAGAAUUAUAUUCCUAAUUUUUUAAAUUGUGGAGGUGCCAGCUUCGCAGAAGUUUUUUUUAAAGAAUUUUUUUCGGAAAUUUCAAGCGGUCACCUAUCCAAGUCGCGACUCCGGUAAACGUUGCUUAAUCUCCAUGAUCUCUGCGAACUGAUUUCUAGCGAUGAUCCGUGAACACUUUGCGUUAUUAAUACAUGUAUAUCGCUGAUAGAUCAGGUAAAUAUAUGUUAUUAAAAA